UACAUCCUCCCUCUCCCUUAAUCCUUUAUGUUCACCCCAACUCUUGCUCAGCUCCUCUCGCCUUCUCUCCACAGAUUACACCUAUGGAGCUGCAGCCCCGACUACCACCAGCUUGCUCAUCCCUCUACUCACACAGUCACCCCUCCCCUCACUCAUUUAUGCUUCACCUGUGAAUGGUGGUCCUGGGACAGCCACUGCUGGAGCCCGGGUGAGCCUGGGGGCUCCUCCCACUCUGUCCCUCCCUGAGACAGCCCUCGCCACAGCUCCCGAGCCGGCCACCACGUCCCUGCAUACUUGAUCAUCAACUGUGCCACCAGAAGCCACCACAGCUUUGGGGCACAACCUGAAGACCCUCACAGUCACCUUCCCCAUCUCCACCCUCCAGUAUUCAUCAGACAGGAGCAACGGCUCAGCCACGUUCCACUCCACUGAGAGGGUCCUGCAGAGCCUGGGGAGACCCUGGUCCCAGCAGCUCCUGGCCUGAGAAGGAUGGGGGAGCCACCUGAGUGGACGCU